rnacentral:rRNA from 1 species
AUUGAACGCUGGCGGCAUGCCUUACACAUGCAAGUCGAACGGCAGCGCGGGAGCAAUCCUGGCGGCGAGUGGCGAACGGGUGAGUAAUAUAUCGGAACGUGCCCAGUAGUGGGGGAUAGCCCGGCGAAAGCCGGAUUAAUACCGCAUACGACCUACGGGUGAAAGGGGGGGAUCGCAAGACCUCUCGCUAUUGGAGCGGCCGAUAUCAGAUUAGGUAGUUGGUGGGGUAAAGGCCUACCAAGCCUGCGAUCUGUAGUUGGUCUGAGAGGACGACCAGCCAGACUGGGACGGAGACACGGCCCAGACUCCUACGGGAGGCAGCAGUGGGGAAUUUUGGACAAUGGGCGCAAGCCUGAUCCAGCAAUGCCGCGUGCAGGAAGAAGGCCUUCGGGUUGUAAACUGCUUUUGUCAGGGAAGAAAUCCUCUAGGCUAAUACCUUGGGGGGAUGACGGUACCUGGAGAAUAAGCACCGGCUAACUACGUGCCAGCAGCCGCGGUAAGAC